UCCUCUGUAGUUCAGUCGGUAGAACGGCGGACUGUUAAUCCGCAUGUCACUGGUUCGAGUCCAGUCAGAGGAGCCA
rnacentral:tRNA from 4 species